rnacentral:rRNA from 1 species
AUUAAACGCUGGCGGAAUGCUUUACACAUGCAAGUCGAACGGCAGCACGGACUUCGGUCUGGUGGCGAGUGGCGAACGGGUGAGUAAUAUAUCGGAACGUACCCAGAAGUGGGGGAUAACGUAGCGAAAGUUACGCUAAUACCGCAUACGAUCUACGGAUGAAAGUGGGGGACCUUCGGGCCUCAUGCUUGUGGAGCGGCCGAUAUCUGAUUAGCUAGUUGGUGAGGUAAAGGCUCACCAAGGCGACGAUCAGUAGCUGGUCUGAGAGGACGACCAGCCACCCUGGGACUGAGACACGGCCCAGACUCCUACGGGAGGCAGGAGUGGGGAAUUUUGGACAAUGGGCGCAAGCCUGAUCCAGCAAUGCCGCGUGAGUGAAGAAGGCCUUCGGGUUGUAAAGCUCUUUUGUCAGGGAAGGAACGGUCUGGGCUAAUAUCCUGGGCUAAUGACGGUACCUGAAGAAUAAGCACCGGCUAACUACGUGCCAGCCGCCGCCGUAA